GGAGAGAUGGCUGAGUGGUUGAAGGCGCCGCUCUCGAAAAGCGGUAUCCUGCGUGAGUGGGAUCCUGGGUUCAAAUCCCAGUCUCUCCG
rnacentral:tRNA from 1 species